CUCUUCCACUUCCUCCUUCUCUCUGACGAUGGCCAGAGGCUCCAAAAUGGACACGUGCGAAGAUGUGAAGAGACUUCCUCCAUGAGAUGGUGAAACAACUCGAUGGAAUUAAAUUGUUCCUGCAGGUUGUCAUUCAUCGUCCGCCCGGUCAUCUUCAAGCAGCAUGUGCGUGUCGGAGUUGAUUGGAUCUGAAGUUUCAGGAUGGAGCCAUGCCACUCUGACAAUGGCUGAUGACGGAAUGAUGGAGACGAAGAUGUGAAUUAAAUCCUCACGGAGAUUCAGCCUCUCGAGGAGAUGCCAUGAAGGGGUCUAGUGGAGGAUGUGGCUCGUAGGAGAUGCUUGGGUCUUUGGAACUCCCUUAACCAAGGUCUGCAUGAGGAAACCAGGGAGACGGCAUGGGAGUAGCUGCCCCCACACACGAGGCACAACAGACGCUGUCGGCAGCAAGAGAGUAGCAGUUCACGCUUGCAGGGCCUACUCUGCGUGGAGGACUCGCGCCGGCUCCUCUCUCUGGUGCAGAAACUGAAGCAUCAUCUACUGGUUCUUGGCGGCUCAUGAAAUCUUCCUGCAGGGUUCAGUUGAUCUCGAUCACAGAAGACUGAACAUCAAUGGAGAAAUGUUAAUUUGUUCUGUUCAGAGAUAAGAACUUCAAAUAAAAGUUUUCCUCUGAUUUCA